rnacentral:rRNA from 1 species
UGAUCCUGGCUCAGAAUGUACGCUGGCGGCACGCCUAACACAUGCAAGUCGAGCGAGGUACUUGUACCUAGCGGCAGACGGGUGCGUAACAUGUGGGAAUCUGCCUUUUGGUUCGGAACAACACGGGGAAACUUGUGCUAAUACCGGAUAAGUCCUAACGGAGAAAGAUUUAUCGCCGAAAGAUGAGCCCGCACUAGAUUAGCUUGUUGGUAAGGUAAAAGCUUACCAAGGCUACGAUCUAUAGCUGAUUUGAGAGGAUGAUCAGCCACACUGGGACUGAGACACGGCCCAGACUCCUACGGGAGGCAGCAGUGGGGAAUCUUGCACAAUGGAGGAAACUCUGAUGCAGCGAUGCCGCGUGAGUGAAGAAGGCCCUUGGGUUGUAAAGCUCUUUUGUCGGGAAAGAUAAUGACUGUACCCGAAGAAUAAGGUCCGGCUAACUUCGUGCCAGCAGCCGCGGUAAUACGAAGGGACCUAGCGUAAUUCGGAAUUACUGGGCGUAAAGCGCGCGUAGGCGGUUAAGUAAGUUAAUUGUGAAAGCCCAAAGCUCAACUUUGGAAUUGCAAUUAAAACUACUUAGCUAGAGUUUAUCAGAGGAAAGCGGAAUACAUAGUGUAGAGGUGAAAUUCGUAGAUAUUAUGUAGAACACCAGUUGCGAAGGCGGCUUUCUGGGAUAAUACUGACGCUGAGGUGCGAAAGUAUGGGUAGCGAAGAGGAUUAGAUACCCUCGUAGU